rnacentral:rRNA from 1 species
GAACGCUGGCGGCAUGCCUUACACAUGCAAGUCGAACGGCAGCACGGGAGCAAUCCUGGUGGCGAGUGGCGAACGGGUGAGUAAUAUAUCGGAACGUGCCCAGUCGUGGGGGAUAACGUAGCGAAAGUUACGCUAAUACCGCAUACGCACUAAGGUGGAAAGUGGGGGAUCUUCGGACCUCAUGCUCAUGGAGUGGCCGAUAUCUGAUUAGCUAGUUGGUGAGGUAAAGGCUCACCAAGGCGACGAUCAGUAGCUGGUUUGAGAGAACGACCAGCCACACUGGAACUGAGACACGGUCCAGACUCCUACGGGAGGCAGCAGUGGGGAAUUUUUGGACAAUGGGGGCAACCCUGAUCCAGCAAUGCCGCGUGAGUGAAGAAGGCCUUCGGGUUGUAAAGCUCUUUUGUCAGGGAAGAAACGGUGAGUUCUAAUAAAGCUUGCUAAUGACGGUACCUGAAGAAUAAGCACCGGCUAACUACGUG